rnacentral:rRNA from 1 species
GGCAAAGACGGGUAGCUGGUCUGAGAGGACGAUCAGCCACACUGGGAUUGAGACACGGCCCAGACUCCUACGGGAGGCAGCAGUGGGGAAUAUUGGACAAUGGGGGAAACCCUGAUCCAGCGAUGCCGCGUGAAGGAAGAAGGCCUUUGGGUUGUAAACUUCUGUCGACAGGGACAAGUGUGCGUAUGUGAAUAAUGUACGUAUUCGAUGGUACCUGUAGAGGAAGCACCGGCUAACCUCGUGCCAGCAGCCGCGGUAAUACGAGGGGUGCAAGCGUUGUUCGGAAUCACUGGGCGUAAAGCGUGUCUAGGCGGGUUGAUAAGUCUGUUGUGAAAGCCCUCGGCUCAACCGGGGAUGUGCAAUGGAGACUGUUGAUCUUGAGUGAUGGAGAGAUGGGCGGAAUUCCGGGUGUAGCAGUGAAAUGCGUAGAUAUCCGGAGGAACACCAGAGGCGAAGGCGGCUCAUUGGCCAUCAACUGACGCUGAAGCACGAAAGCGUGGGUAGCGAACAGGAUUAGAUACCCU